rnacentral:rRNA from 1 species
UACGGGGGGGGCAAGCGUUGUUCGGAAUUACUGGGCGGAAAGGGCUUGUAGGUGGCCAACUAAGUCAGACGUGAAAUCCCUCGGCUUAACCGGGGAACUGCGUCUGAUACUGGAUGGCUGGAGUGUGGGAGAGGGAUGCGGAAUUCCAGGUGUAGCGGUGAAAUGCGUAGAUAUCUGGAGGAACACCGGUGGCGAAGGCGGCAUCCUGGACCAUUACUGACGCUGAGGUGCGAAAGCGUGGGGAGCAAACAGG